UGGCACUAAGAUCUUGAACUACUCCCUGGAC
rnacentral:piRNA from 1 species